rnacentral:rRNA from 1 species
CCCAGACUCCUACGGGAGGCAGCAGUGGGGGAUAUUGCACAAUGGGGGAAACCCUGAUGCAGCGACGCCGCGUGAGUGAAGAAGUAUUUCGGUAUGUAAAGCUCUAUCAGCAGGGAAGAAAAAAGACGGUACCUGACUAAGAAGCCCCGGCUAACCACGUGCCAGCAGCCGCGGUAAUACGUAGGGGGCAAGCGUUAUCCGGAUUUACUGGGUGUAAAGGGAGCGUAGACGGCAAUACAAGUCGGAAGUGAAAUACCCGGGCUUAACCUGGGAACUGCUUUGGAAACUGUAUGGCUGGAGUGCUGGAGAGGUAAGCGGAAUUCCUAGUGUAGCGGUGAAAUGCGUAGAUAUUAGGAGGAACACCAGUGGCGAAGGCGGCUUACUGGACAGUAACUGACGUUGAGGCUCGAAAGCGUGGGGAGCAAACAGGAUUAGAUACCCCGGUA